UGGAGAGUAAACUAAAUAAGUUAUCGGGCUCAUGUCCCGAGUAUAGGGCUAGCGUGCCCUCCUCC
rnacentral:tRNA from 1 species